rnacentral:tRNA from 1 species
GGUGGGAUGGCUGAGUGGACGAAAGCGGCGGUCUUGAAAACCGUUAUGGCGCAAGCCAUCGUGGGUUCGAAUCCUACUCCCACCGCCA